GAGAGCCCUGUUGGAUCUGGUGACAACUGGAAAAACUGAAAGAGGGAAAUGGGGGACCCAUGGAGCCACUGGGAUCUGAUUAGCGAAGCCUCAGCUUCAAACAUCUCUGUAAUUUUCUACAAAUCAAGAACUGAUGGAUGAAAACCCAGAAAAACAGCAGCCUUCUAUUCCAUUGUCCAGUUGAAAUGUAAAAGCUCUCAAUUUUGAAGUCUACAAAAGAAAAACAGACUGCAACCAGCCCUGCAGACACCAUUAGUAAGUGGCAGCUGCCAGGCUAGAACCCAUUACUAAGUUCAGUGCUCUAUCUUCUUCCCACCUGUGGUGCAUAUGUUGGGUCUGCCUGGUUGGCACUAUUUACAAGAUCAAAAUCCAUGCCUGCAUAUUAUCUACUCCACCUACUACCAGAAUGUAACAAAAAUCUAUAUAGUCAAUACUGUACCAGAUAUUAUCCAAGAAGCCUCAUUAAUGGGUU